rnacentral:lncRNA from 1 species
AGGACUAAUUCACAAUCCUUGCACGAAUUCAACUGUACUUUCCGACUUUCAGAUUUCGAAAGGCGAAAGAAUUACCUGUGUCAUGAGCCUGUCCGCUCCCGUGUUCUCCUCAUCCUUAAAGAUAAUGUCGGGAUUAUAAUUUGGAGUAAGUUCUUUAAAUCUCUCCGAAUUGCGCGUUAUCUUGCCCUCGUAUCUGCCGCUGGCCCCUAAGGUCUUCUCCGCGACAUUAGGUAUGAACUGCUUGUAGGCGAGAGGUGUCAGCUUCUUCGGAUGUCUUCUUCUGCCGUAGCCUCUGCCAGGACCGCAGGCCAGUCCGGACACCACCAAGGACAGAGUGAGAAGAGACACCAGCAGCACUCUCGUCAAAAGCCGCAUUUUGCCGCACGCUGAAUCUCGCUGCGGUGUUCUCGAGCGGUCUGUCUAGCAGGGUUUCUCGUUGUCGAGGCGCGGAUCUCCGGCGAUGUCCUUGCCGUCUCCUCGGUUCACGCGUGUCCCUCAGCAGCGCCAAGCCCCGACCGUGACAGGUGCGGAAACGUGCGACUGAUAACGCAUCGGAGGUUUGCGGCGGGGAUGCGAAAGGUGCUUUUCCAUGGUGUACCAGAGCGAGAGAGCAGGAGACAGAGAUUAAGCUGGCUCUUCUGCCCAACAGCUUAUUUGAGAUAUUGGAAAAGGCUCUUCCUGUGCACACAAAUGCUAAGCUGUCUGUUUGGGAGAAAGAUCAGCCUGCAAAAACCCUGUCACCCCUUAAAGUCCACUUCAGUGACAGAUUAAGCCAUGGUAACCACUGUGUUCCCUGGCCCAUAGCAGCGGGUAAGGCUGAAGUUGAGGACGCUUUCAUAGACGUAGGCGACCUUGCAGAUCCAGGAAUAAAAUAAUAUCGAGCAUUCUGGAAUUAAACGUACAUGUUUCAAGCUUUCACACAAAUGG